UCGGGAAUUUUGCUCAAUGGGGGAAACCCUGAAGCAGCAACGCCGCGUGCGGGAUGAAGGCCUUCGGGUUGUAAACCGCUUUUACCAGGGACGAUGAUGACGGUACCUGAUGAAUAAGUCACGGCUAACUACGUGCCAGCAGCCGCGGUAAUACGUAGGUGACCAGCGUUGUCCGGAUUUACUGGGCGUAAAGAGCGCGCAGGCGGUCGUUCAAGUCGAGUGUGAAAGCCCCCGGCUCAACUGGGGAGGGUCAUUCGAUACUGAUCGACUCGAAGGCAGGAGAGGGAAGCGGAAUUCCCGGUGUAGUGGUGAAAUGCGUAGAUAUCGGGAGGAACACCAGUGGCGGAGGCGGCUUCCUGGCCUGUUCUUGACGCUGAGGCGCGAAAGCUAGGGGAGCAAACGGGAUUAGAUACCCCGGUAGUCCUAGCCGUAAACGAUGGACACUAGGUGUUGGUGGUAUCAACCCCACAGUGCCGAAGCUAACGCAUUAAGUGUCCCGCCUGGGGAGUACGGCCGACG
rnacentral:rRNA from 1 species